rnacentral:tRNA from 1 species
GGAGAGAUGCAGGAGUGGUUGAACUGGCACGCUUGGAAAGCGUGUAGGGCUUUUCUCGAGCUCUCGUGGGUUCGAAUCCCACUCUCUCCGCCA